CCGACCUUAGCUCAGUUGGUAGAGCGGAGGACUGUAGUGGGCUGUUCCUUGCUGAAAUCCUUAGGUCGCUGGUUCGAAUCCGGCAGGUCGGA
rfam:Vigna angularis cultivar Jingnong 6 chromosome 3, whole genome shotgun sequence.